AUUUAAGAAGACCGUAACACAAGAGUUGAGUGAAAUUAAACGAAUGAACAAGUUGUUUUUCUGCCACAGAGAAAGAUAUUCUCCAUAAUAAAUUACAAUUUUGCAUAAUCCUGGGUCCAAUAGGUACUAACAAACAACCGUAAUUUAUUAUCCUGUCAAUAAUGACAUUAGGGGGCCAUUGCCGUCGAUAACGCAAUAUCCAUGGCAUGACAUGGUAUGGUAAAUAUUUACUUCUAAGGCAGCAUGCGAUAUCCACAUCUUGAUUUGUAUUUGAUAAGCAGGGACCGUGUGUAGAUAAAUUAUACACCUGGGUUCUCUGCUUUAUAUGAUUUAAAAAGUUUGUCGUUGAUAAAUAUAGACCUGUUUGUGUAUUGACAAUACUUUCAUUAUAUACAAAGUCAUUUUCUCUUCUCCUUUCUGCUAUCAAUCUGAGUCUAGUAAAUCCAGGAUGAUCAGUAUCUGUCUCCAUAAAUACUUCAGUACGUUGUACCGGAUGUUUAAUAUUCCUUACAGUCCGUGUUACGUUUACAUAUCAUCGACAAACAUUAUAUCUAUGUCACUUCCUGGUAAAUCCAAUCCUUCUGCUAAACUCCCACUUGAUAUUUGUGUUUUAUCUUCGUCAGAUGCAUUGCUUAUUUUAUCAUUGUAAGAUAAACAGUAGUUGUCUUUUACGUAUGUCUAUUUCAGUACCUAUUGUUCUUAUAAGGUGGUUAACCAAGUGGUUUUCUAUAGAAUCAUUUUCAGUCCAAGACAAAUACUCUAUA
rnacentral:lncRNA from 1 species